rnacentral:rRNA from 1 species
GACGAACGCUGGCGGCGUGCUUAACACAUGCAAGUCGAACGGAAAGGCCCUGCUUUUGUGGGGUGCUCGAGUGGCGAACGGGUGAGUAACACGUGAGUAACCUGCCCUUGACUUUGGGAUAACUUCAGGAAACUGGGGCUAAUACCGGAUAGGAGCUCCUGCUGCAUGGUGGGGGUUGGAAAGUUUCGGCGGUUGGGGAUGGACUCGCGGCUUAUCAGCUUGUUGGUGGGGUAGUGGCUUACCAAGGCUUUGACGGGUAGCCCGCCUGAGAGGGUGACCGGCCACAUUGGGACUGAGAUACGGCCCAGACUCCUACGGGAGGCAGCAGUAGGGAAUAUUGCACAAUGGGCGGAAGCCUGAUGCAGCAACGCCGCGUGCGGGAUGACGGCCUUCGGGUUGUAAACCGCUUUCGCCUGUGACGAAGCGUGAGUGACGGUAAUGGGUAAAGAAGCACCGGCUAACUACGUG